GAUGAAGAACGUAGCGAAAUGCGAUAAGUAAUGCGAAUUGCAGAAUUCAGUGAAUCAUCGAAUCUUUGAACGCGCAUUGCGCCCGCCAGUACUCUGGCGGGCAUGCCUGUCUGAGCGUCAUUUCAACCCUCGCACCCGGCUUCUGGCGGGGGCGGUGUUGGGGAUCGGCCUCCCGUCAUCGGGCGGCCGGCCCCGAAAUAGAGUGGCGACCACGCCGUAGCCUCCUCUGCGUAGUAGUGAAACACUCCCGGGCGGAGAGCGGUGCGGCCCGCCGUAAAACCCCCAACUCUUUCUAAGGUUGACCUCAGAUCAGGUAGGAAUACCCGCUGAACUUAAGCAUAUCAAUAAGCGGAGGA
rnacentral:misc_RNA from 1 species